AUACGUAGGGGGCAAGCGUUGUCCGGAAUUACUGGGCGUAAAGAGCUCGUAGGCGGCUCAGCAAGUCGGUCGUGAAAGCCCGAGGCUCAACCUCGGAACUGCGGUCGAUACUGCUGUGGCUAGAGUCCGGUAGAGGAGAGUGGAAUUCCCGGUGUAGCGGUGGAAUGCGCAGAUAUCGGGAGGAACACCAGUGGCGAAGGCGGCUCUCUGGGCCGGUACUGACGCUGAGGAGCGAAAGCGUGGGGAGCAAACAGGAUUAGAAACCCUAGUAGUCC
rnacentral:rRNA from 1 species